GCCGGAGUGGUGAAAUUGGUAGACGCACGGGACUCAAAAUCCCGCGGGGUAAAACCCGUGCCGGUUCGAUUCCGGCCUCCGGCACCA
rnacentral:tRNA from 2 species